CUCGUAGUUGGAUUUCUGGUAUGAUACGCCUGACCCGUGUUUUUUUAAAUGUGUGUGUCGGUGCGAGUCUGCCAUCUUUGUCAGUGAAUGCUGUUCUACUCUUUAUUGAGCAUGGACUUCACAAGCUGAAUCGAUUACUUUGAAAAAAUGAGAGUGUUUAAAGCAGGCGCAUGUUGUGGAUCUACUAGCAUGGAAUAAUAUCAUAGGACUUCGGUUCUAUUUUGUUGGUUUAUUGAAUCGAUGUAAUGAUUGAUAGGGAUAGUUGGGGGUGCUAGUAUUCAGUGGCCAGAGGUGAAAUUCUUGGAUUCACUGAAGACUGCCUUCUGCGAAAGCAUUCACCAAGGAUAUCUUCUUUAAUCAAGAACGAAAGUUGGGGGAUCGAAGACGAUCAGAUACCGUCGUAGUCCCAACCAUAAACGAUGCCAGCUGGGGAUUGGUAGACGUUGCCAAACAGCUCGACCCAACCAGAACCCGAAGAGAAAUCGUAAGCUUUUAGGUUCCGGGGGGAGUAUGGCCGCAAGACUGAAACUUAAAGGAAUUGACGGAAGGGCACCACCAGGAGUGGAGCCUGCGGCUUAAUUUGACUCAACACGGGAAAACUUACCAGGUCCAGACGUAGUGAGGAUUGACAGAUGGAAGAUCUUUCUUGAUUCUACGGGUGGUGGUGCAUGGCCGUUCUUAGUUGGUGGAGUAAUUUGUCUGGUUAAUUCCGUUAACGAACGAGACCUUGACCUGCUAAAUAGUUCGGAGAAUCCUUCGGGAUUCGUCACAGUUGGCUUCUUAGAGGGACUACCGGUGUUUUAAACAUCCGGKGGAAGUUUCAAGGCAAUAACAGGUCUGUGAUGCCCUUARAUGUUCUGGGCCGCACGCGCGCUACAUGAUCAGCACAAUUGUUUAUUCCC
rnacentral:rRNA from 1 species